rnacentral:rRNA from 1 species
UACGGGGGGGGCAAGCGUUGUCCGGAAUCACUGGGCGUAAAGGGCGCGUAGGCGGCGCGAGCAGUCGAUCGUGAAAGUCCGGAGCUCAACUCCGGAUCGGCGGUCGAUACUCUCGUGCUUGAGCACUGUAGAGGCAGAUGGAAUUCCGGGUGUAGCGGUGGAAUGCGUAGAGAUCCGGAAGAACACCGGUGGCGAAGGCGGUCUGCUGGGCAGUUGCUGACGCUGAGGCGCGACAGCGUGGGGAGCAAACAGG